UAAAAGUGCAUAUCGUCCU
rnacentral:siRNA from 1 species